GGGGCUGAGGCUCAGUGGUAGAGCACUCGCCUAGCGUGUGUGAGGCCUGGGUUCGAUCGUCAGCACCACA
rnacentral:tRNA from 1 species